AAUCCAUAGGUUAAUGAGGCGAACCGGGGGAACUGAAACAUCUAAGUACCCCGAGGAAAAGAAAUCAACCGAGAUUCCCCCAGUAGCGGCGAGCGAACGGGGAGGAGCCCAGAGCCUGAAUCAGCAUGUGUGUUAGUGGAAGCGUCUGGAAAGGCGCGCGAUACAGGGUGACAGCCCCGUACACAAAAGCGCAUGUGCUGUGAGCUCGAUGAGUAGGGCGGGACACGUGGUAUCCUGUCUGAAUAUGGGGGGACCAUCCUCCAAGGCUAAAUACUCCUGACUGACCGAUAGUGAACCAGUACCGUGAGGGAAAGGCGAAAAGAACCCCGGCGAGGGGAGUGAAAAAGAACCUGAAACCGUGUACGUACAAGCAGUGGGAGCCCCACCACCAAAGCAUUUGCUGUACCGCGUUGACGGAGCGAAGCGACGUCAAACCGAUAAAACAGCAGUGUAAAGUGAGCCGCAGGGCGCUUUGCGCGACAGCGCA
rnacentral:rRNA from 2 species